rnacentral:rRNA from 1 species
AUUGAACGCUGGCGGCAGGCUUAACACAUGCAAGUCGAGCGGGGGUAGGUAGCUUGCUACCGGACCUAGCGGCGGACGGGUGAGUAAUGCUUAGGAAUCUGCCUAUUAGUGGGGGACAACAUCUCGAAAGGGAUGCUAAUACCGCAUACGUCCUACGGGAGAAAGCAGGGGAUCUUCGGACCUUGCGCUAAUAGAUGAGCCUAAGUCGGAUUAGCUAGUUGGUGGGGUAAAGGCCUACCAAGGCGACGAUCUGUAGCGGGUCUGAGAGGAUGAUUCGCCACACUGGGACUGAGACACGGCCCAGACUCCUACGGGAGGUAGCAGUGGGGAAUAUUGGACAAUGGGGGGAACCCUGAUCCAGCCAUGCCGCGUGUGUGAAGAAGGCCUUAUGGUUGUAAAGCACUUUAAGCGAGGAGGAGGCUACUCUAGUUAAUACCUAGGGAUAGUGGACGUUACUCGCAGAAUAAGCACCGGCUAACUCUGUGCCAGCCGCCGCAGUAA